rnacentral:rRNA from 2 species
GAAAGCCUUCGGCUUAACCGAAGAAGUGCAUCGGAAACCGGGCGACUUGAGUGCAGAAGAGGACAGUGGAACUCCAUGUGUAGCGGUGGAAUGCGUAGAUAUAUGGAAGAACACCAGUGGCGAAGGCGGCUGUCUGGUCUGCAACUGACGCUGAGGCUCGAAAGCAUGGGUAGCGAACAGGAUUAGAUACCCUGGUAGUCCAUGCCGUAAACGAUGAGUGCUAGGUGUUGGAGGGUUUCCGCCCUUCAGUGCCGGAGCUAACGCAUUAAGCACUCCGCCUGGGGAGUACGACCGCAAGGUUGAAACUCAAAGGAAUUGACGGGGGCCCGCACAAGCGGUGGAGCAUGUGGUUUAAUUCGAAGCUACGCGAAGAACCUUACCAGGUCUUGACAUCUUGCGCUAACCUUAGAGAUAAGGCGUUCCCUUCGGGGACGCAAUGACAGGUGGUGCAUGGUCGUCGUCAGCUCGUGUCGUGAGAUGUUGGGUUAAGUCCCGCAACGAGCGCAACCCUUGUUACUAGUUGCCAGCAUUAAGUUGGGCACUCUAGUGAGACUGCCGGUGACAAACCGGAGGAAGGUGGGGACGACGUCA